rnacentral:tRNA from 1 species
GAGGUUCAGUGGUAGAACAUAUGCUUUUCAUGCUUGAGGCCCUGGGUUUAAUUCCUAGC